rnacentral:rRNA from 1 species
GUCCACGCCUAACGAUGACGACUAGAUGUCGCGGUAUUGACCCCGCGGUGCCGCAGCUAACGCAUUAAGUCGUCCGCCUGGGAGUACGGCCGCAAGGUUGAACUCAAGGAAUUGACGGGGCCCGGCACAAGCAGUGGAGCAUGUGGUUCAAUUCGACGCAACGCGAAACCUUAACCUGGACUUGACAUACUCGGACCGCCUGGGAGACCAGGUUUCCCCGCAAGGGCCGGGAUACAGGUGCUGCAUGGCUGUCGU